ensembl:lncRNA
GCAUCGUUUUUUGAGGCAACCGUCCCUUGGAUGGCCUUGAAGCCAUGCGGGCAGUGACCAGCCAAUGGGGAUGAGAUGGAAAGGAACACAAUGGCUCUGUAGUACAAGGGGACAACAUGAGCUUGCGGUGAGUGGCAUAGGUAGCCUGAGGCACUUUCCUUUCAGAACACAGAGAGUUCAGCCACUCCCAUGACUGAGUGUGAGCUCCAGUGAUGGAGACCUACAACAUGCCCUGCUAAGCUGCUCCAGCAACAACUGCCCUCUAACUUAAGAAGCACUGGAGCCUGAGAGUUCCCAGGGAGGGCAAUGAACGAGGUCAGAGCUCCUGGCCCACGGCAGCCAGGCCCAGCCCUUUGUUCCCCAUCAUGAGGCAAUGACAUCAGGAGCAGCCAGAAACAGAAGAGAAAAACAGAACAAAACAAAACAAAACAAAACAAACAAACAAACAAACAAAAAAAAAAAAAAAAAAGAGAAGCCAAAGCAAAGGUAAACAGAGCUUGUUGCUCUCUUCUCCACUGCUGCUUCUUGUUGCACUGAGGACAGAAACCCAAAAGGCAGUGCUGACUGGUUUACCAGCUGUGAUAAUUGGAGCACAAGUGAUGUAAAACAUUUUGGUAAGAGUUCUCAAUACAGAAAUUGAAUACGAUUGAGUCAGAUCAGUAAUGACCUGAAGUUUGUACCUGGCGGCAAACAUUCUAGUAGAACAUUGAUGUGUCACCAAAUCAACAGCACUUCCCAGCUCUGUCGUUUUGUUUGGUUUUUUUUGAGCUAGUUAAUUUCAGCACGUCACAAAAUCCAAACACAGUUUUGGCUCAAGUUGCUGAAGGACCAGCAGCAACACUGCAUAAGAAAUGACUAUUUGAUCCCUUAUUAUUACUCACAGCUAUUCAGUUUGGUUGUUCAUAUCCCUUUCAUGACAAUUAACAGCCCUACUAGGCAAAACGGUAUUGCCACGAUCCUAAAAUUUAAUAAAGAGUUGCUGAUAACUUUUACACCCAUCCUCUUCCCAGCAGUAAGGAGGUCUUGGUUCUAACAUAUCAACACGAGGGACUGAAAUGUGAGCACACCAAAACAUGUGUGAGAGUCUAUUGAUGAGCAUCUGCGCAGUCUCCAAAUCCCCCACCCUGGGCUCCACGUGGUCUCUCCAUUUCCUAACUUCACAUCGUCCUAUACCUCCUGCCCCCUCUAUCUGAACUGGAGAAAAACAAGAACUCAUUUUGGUUUGCUUCUCUCUUCUCUGCAAACAAAGUAGAUUUUAAGGCAAGUUUGCAGAGCCCCACUUCAUGCAGCAGUGUGAAAUGGGCUGGAGGCUGUUGUCCUGCAGUGUCAAGGCUGCAGCACAGCCCACUCUGCAGGCCUCU